rnacentral:ncRNA from 1 species
CCGCCCGGCGGACGUCGCGAAAAAGUCCCACUGAACCUUAUCAUUUAGAGGAAGGAGAAGUCGUAACAAGGUUUCCGUAGGUGAACCUGCGGAAGGAUCAUUG